GAAUAUGACGAUAAAAACGCUGUGCACCAGUCUGAGCGGAAAACUUUUGUACUCUCCGUGUUGAAGACCAAGUAUACCCAAAUUUCUGAAC
rnacentral:snoRNA from 1 species